AUUGAACGCUGGCGGCAGGCCUAACACAUGCAAGUCGAGCGGAGCGGCGGACGGGUGGGUAAUUCCUAGGAAUCUGCCUGGUCGUGGGGGAUAAGGUCCGGAAACGGGCGCUAAUACCACAUCCUAUCAGAUGAGCCUAGGUCGGAUUAGCUAGUUGGUGGGGUAAAGGCCUACCAAGGCGACGAUCCGUAACUGGUCUGCGAGGAUGAUCAGUCACACUGGAACUGAGACACGGUCAAGACUCCUACGGGAGGCAGCAGUGGGGAAUAUUGCACAAUGGGCGAAAGCCUGAUCGAGCCAUGCCGCGUGUGUGAAGAAGGUCUUCGGAUUGUAAAGCACUUUAAGUUGGGAGGCGUUACCAAAAGAAUAAGCACCGGCUAACUACGUGCCAGCAGCCGCGGUAAUUC
rnacentral:rRNA from 1 species